GGUCUAUGGUUUCUUGGACCACCUACACCAACAAAAAAAAGGACAACCUGAGUGAUUUUCUUUUGAAAUGCACUCAAUAUUGUAUAAAAGCCUACCGGACAAGUUACAACCUGAGUUACUCACUAAACUAUCCAAGGUUCCAUAAGAUACAAUUGAAAUAUGAAGAGAAAGAGAUCACACAGCCAGUCUAAGGUAAUCAAAAUGUGUCUGAAUGCUAGUUGUUACACACUGAAUAUCUUUAGAAACAGCAAACCUUUACUUAAACCACACAAUCCCAAAUAUCAAACAACAAUUAGAG
rnacentral:misc_RNA from 1 species